ACCAAGUUUCUAACUAAUGCCAAGCUCUCGCUCAUAGACACACCAGAGGACUCAGACUCCAGUCCUGAGACUGCUGGCAUGGCGAGUGCUUUUUCCUGCGAGCCCUCUCACUGGCCCAAGUCCUAACUUUUGUCUACACGUGGAGCUGCUGGCUUACUCUCAGCUGGAAGCGUCAGAGACCUUUCUGGUAUCAGGAAAAGAAAGCUAGCCUUGAGGCCAGAGAUUCACAGCCCAGUUCCCUUUCCUCCAUUCUACAAAUAAAUUCCUUGGUGUCUCAAGUAACCGAGAAAGCUUGUGCUCAGGAGUUAUGCCACCACCCUCAGGGUUAUUAUUCCAAACCCAGUGAUGCUUACAAACAUAUCCCCGUGUGGUAGUGCCCCGCCUCAAUCCUGUGAUGUUUGUGGAGAUUCACCUUUCCAGAGGAGAAAACAACAAUGGUUAGUUGUCUUAGCUGGUCACAUGAUCAAAUACGUGAUCCUUCUGCCCCAGCCCCCUGCGUGAGGGAUCAGACCCAACUUCAAGUAACUUUUUAAAGUAAGCUUUUUGGAAAAUCAGGACAAUUGUUUUGAAAUAUACUGAAAGGAGAACUGAAGUUUCCUCAUGAAUAGAAAGCAGAUAAUCACCACAGCAACCACUAACUAGCAAACAAAGCCAGGGACAGAGCCAAGAUGCAGGCCAGUAGGCAGGACUCUCACCAGCUCUGUGAGCACGCAUGCAGAUGCCACAUCAGGACUUCAGUAUCUUCCAUUAGCUCUCCACCCAAAUGCCUUGAGGCAGAGCCUGCUGACCAAACCAAAAGCUCUCCAUUCAGCUACUCUGGCCAGCCAGCAAUCUCUUAGGUUCCACCUGCCCCCACCCCAAGGUGUUGGAGAUAUAUGGAGAUAUAGGUACGGAAGCCAUGCCUGGCUAUAAAUAAAUAAUAAAUAAAAUAAAUUAAAAAUAAAAUGGGUGCUGGGGAUUUGAACUCUGGCCCUUAUGCUUUCAGACCAGACACUCUUACCAUUGAGCCAUUU
ensembl:lincRNA Gm29016 predicted gene 29016